rnacentral:rRNA from 1 species
UGGAUUGUAAACUGCUUUUAUACGAGAAGAAACACUGCUUCGUGAAGCAGCUUGACGGUAUCGUAAGAAUAAGGAUCGGCUAACUCCGUGCCAGCAGCCGCGGUAAUACGGAGGAUCCAAGCGUUAUCCGGAAUCAUUGGGUUUAAAGGGUCCGUAGGCGGUUUAAUAAGUCAGUGGUGAAAGCCCAUCGCUCAACGGUGGAACGGCCAUUGAUACUGUUAAACUUGAAUUAUUAGGAAGUAACUAGAAUAUGUAGUGUAGCGGUGAAAUGCUUAGAGAUUACAUGGAAUACCAAUUGCGAAGGCAGGUUACUACUAAUGGAUUGACGCUGAUGGACGAAAGCGUGGGUAGCGAACAGGAUUAGAUACCCUGGUAGUCCACGCCGUAAACGAUGGAUACUAGCUGUUGGAAGCAAUUUCAGUGGCUAAGCGA